UACGUAGGGUGCAAGCGUUGUCCGGAAUUAUUGGGCGUAAGAGCUCGUAGGCGGUCUGUUACGUCGGCUGUGAAAACCUGGGGCUCAACCCCGGGCCUGCAGCCGAUACGGGCAGACUAGAAUUCGGUAGGGGAGACUGGAAUUCCUGGUGUAGCGGUGAAAUGCGCAGAUAUCAGGAGGAACACCGGUGGCGAAGGCGGGUCUCUGGGCCGAUAUUGACGCUGAGGAGCGAAAGCGUGGGGAGCGAACAGG
rnacentral:rRNA from 1 species